rnacentral:rRNA from 1 species
AUUGAACGCUGGCGGCAUGCCUUACACAUGCAAGUCGAACGGCAGCACGGGUGCUUGCACCUGGUGGCGAGUGGCGAACGGGUGAGUAAUACAUCGGAACAUGUCCUGUAGUGGGGGAUAGCCCGGCGAAAGCCGGAUUAAUACCGCAUACGAUCUACGGAUGAAAGCGGGGGACCUUCGGGCCUCGCGCUAUAGGGUUGGCCGAUGGCUGAUUAGCUAGAUGGUGGGGUAAAGGCCUACCAAGGCGACGAUCAGUAGCUGGUCUGAGAGGACGACCAGCCACACUGGGACUGAGACACGGCCCAGACUCCUACGGGAGGCAGCAGUGGGGAAUUUUGGACAAUGGGCGAAAGCCUGAUCCAGCAAUGCCGCGUGUGUGAAGAAAGCCUUCGGGUUGUAAAGCACUUUUGUCCGGAAAGAAAUCCUUGGCCCUAAUACGGUCGGGGGAUGACGGUACCGGAAGAAUAAGCACCGGCUAACUACGUG